rnacentral:rRNA from 1 species
AUUGAACGCUGGCGGCAGGCCUAACACAUGCAAGUCGAGCGGAUGAAGGGAGCUUGCUCCUGGAUUCAGCGGCGGACGGGUGAGUAAUGCCUAGGAAUCUGCCUGGUAGUGGGGGAUAACGUCCGGAAACGGGCGCUAAUACCGCAUACGUCCUGCGGGAGCAAGUGGGGGAUCUUCGGACCUCACGCUAUCAGAUGAGCCUAGGUCGGAUUAGCUAGUUGGUGGGGUAAAGGCCUACCAAGGCGACGAUCCGUAACCGGUCUGAGAGGAUGAUCAGUCACACUGGAACUGAGACACGGUCCAGACUCCUACGGGAGGCAGCAGUGGGGAAUAGUGGACAAUGGGCGGAAGCCUGAUCCAGCCAUGCGGCGUGUGUGAAGAAGGUCUUCGGAUUGUAAAGCACUUUAAGUGGGGAGGAAGGGCAGUAAGUUAAUACCUUGCUGUUUUGACGUUACCAACAGAAUAAGCACCGGCUAACUUCGU